GACGAACGCUGGCGGCGUGCCUAAUACAUGCAAGUUGAGCGCUGAAGGUUGGUACUUGUACCCACUGGAUGAGCAGCGAACGGGUGAGUAACGCGUGGGGAAUCUGCCUUUGAGCGGGGGACAACAUUUGGAAACGAAUGCUAAUACCGCAUAAAAACUUUAAACACAAGUUUUAAGUUUGAAAGAUGCAAUUGCAUCACUCAAAGAUGAUCCCGCGUUGUAUUAGCUAGUUGGUGAGGUAAAGGCUCACCAAGGCGAUGAUACAUAGCCGACCUGAGAGGGUGAUCGGCCACAUUGGGACUGAGACACGGCCCAAACUCCUACGGGAGGCAGCAGUAGGGAAUCUUCGGCAAUGGACGAAAGUCUGACCGAGCAACGCCGCGUGAGGGAAGAAGGUUUUCGGAUCGGAAAACUCUGUUGGUAGAGAAGAACGUUGGUGAGAGUGGAAAGCUCAUCAAGUGACGGUAACUACCCAGAAAGGGACGGCUAACUACGUG
rnacentral:rRNA from 1 species